AUGGGAGCCUAAGGCCUCAGGGACCUGGUGCCCAGGGCUCUGCGGAAGAUGGCUCAGGUGGGCUGCAGGGCGCGGUCCUCUUACGCAUGGGCAAAACGGACGUGGAGACCCGUAGGUACGCGGCCCGCAGCACACAGCCUUUAAGAGGGGAUUCUCUGAGCAUUGCCUGGCUCCUGGAUAUUCCCUGACAGGUGACUCAAGGUCUGCUCAGACUCUGAGAAGCUGUGAGGAGGCUGGUGGGAAGCCUGUUUACAAGUCACUGACAGAGAUUUCUAAGCUAAAUUCAGGCCUUUUUUUUUUUUUUUUUUUCUUUUUAAUUUUCCUCUCUUUGUUGACAGGUGUAAGCCUCUAGGGAUAAAAUAAAUUUUGAGCUUUCUGCAGAGAUGCGUAGGUCUGCCUUGAGAUUUCUUAGCACCUGGAGGAGGUGGCUUUGCCUGUUGCUGAAGGAUACAUUAGAUGUGCUGAUUUUUUUUGGUGCUUGGGCUGAUCAAUAUGUUUCUUUUAAAAACAUCUCUAUUAGAGGUUGCGGCCUUCUAAUGAAGACAGGGCCCACCAGUUUAAGAAGCCAUUAGUUAGUGAAGAAUCCAUUCAUUUGUGGGGAAUCCAUUAAUUUGAGAACAAACAAGAAACAACCUAUGAGUGGGCUGAUUGGCGCCGGCCAGGGUAGUCUAAUGGCAGAGAGGUGAUGGGCUGGAGUUGGCAGGUCUCCCCCUGGCCUGGGUUGGUUUUGGUGGGUGAGCUGGGGAUGUGGUGUGCCUUGGAGCAGUCGCAGAUUGAAUGGGUCAUGGGGUGUGACCAAGGGCUCUCUGCAGAUUCUCCAGACCACCCCAGUCGCUGUGUUGGCCCUCGCUGAUUGAAAGUAAAAUGGAGAGAAAUACGGCAUGAUACUAAUGCCAUUUGAGGUACUUUGCUUAUGCUGCUUUUCCCUCUAAUUAAUUAUUACUCAGAAUGCUACCUCAUGUAUCAGGAGCCAGCCCAAAGCCCACUGCUGGGGAACUUAAAAUUUGGAAUGCUUAAUGUGGUACCAUUGGCCGGCAGCCCUGAUGCUCUCUGCUCAUCAGGCCCCGAAUCAUGCCAGUGGUCAGCCAGGCCGUGAUGUCCCAUUGGCUCCCGGCAUUUUCACCGGAACAUGUUGCCCUGCGUGAAGUGAUUCAGCCCAGUAAUAGGCAGCCUGGGAUUAGCAGCACUAACAUGUCCGUUCUUUCUCAGAAUGUACCCAGCGGUGCGUUUGCAGAAGCCUGUUCAGGGGACGGCUCUUCUUGCAGGCUUUCCCAGCUGGAGUCUGUACUGGCAAUGGUGUCUGCUAAUCUCAUCACUGGCCCCCUCCCUUCCUGCUUCUUGCCAAUUCCUUGCCCCCUCCCCUUGCUUCCUUUCCUCCUCGCUCUGCUGUGAAGCUUGGGAGUGGAAAGACUAUUGGUUUUGGAGUUGAAUGGAUUUGGGGGCAAGUCCCAGCUCCCUGACUUAUUAUUUGUGUGACCUUGGGCCGUUUGCAUCACUGUCUUAGCCUCCAUUUCUUUAUCUGUUAAAAGGGAUGAAGGCGACAGCUGUGAUAAAGCAUUUACCAUAUAGCUUCUCAAGAAGCAUCUGUUUUUUCUUCACUGCACAUAUUCAUGCGUUUCCCUUUUAGAGGAUUUUAGCCCCUUCCUGUUUCUAGCCCGGUGAGGAUUUAACACAUAACUAAGACUGGCCUAAGAGUGUUAUUUCCAAGUGGUUAAUUAUGCAGACACCUGCAGUGGUGGAUAUGCUGGGCUUGCUUUGUCCUGCUUGUAUUACUGAGUAUGGUGGGGCUGGGGAUGCCUCUGGAGUGGCCACUGGAUUUUUUUUUUUUUUUCAGGUUAUUAUUAUUUUUUUUAAAUUUCAACUUUUAUUUUAGAUACAGGGUCUACAUGUGCAGAUUUGUCACAUGGGAAUCUUGUGUGAUGCUGAGGUUUGGAAUAUGGGUCCCCUUACCCAGGUGGUAAGCAUAGUAUCCUAUAGGUCGUUUCUAAACCCUCCACCCUCUAGCAUGCUACAGGGUCUUUUGUCCCACAAGCCCCUGGGAAUGUUGGCAGGGGAUUGAGGGGAAGGAUGGCAUUUGGACUUUGGCCAACAGCUCCCACCAUAGUCUUCGAUCUCUGCUGAUAAGAGUCUUGUUCUCUGUUCCCAUGUGCCUGCUAUUGGGAGGGAGGAAGCUGAGGUUUCCCGGGUGCCCACGAUGACUCUGGCCUUUUGUGCAUUUGCUAAUCCUCACACUUUGCAGACAGAGGAAACUGAAAAGCUAAAGAUGUUAAAUGACUUACUUAAGAUCAUACAAAUAGCCACUAGGGCAUUGAACAGGAUUUGAGUCCAGAUUUUACUCCCUCCAGAGCCCCUCUUUUCUAUCUGCGAUGAUUCCAGGAACACAGUGUACAGCACUGCACUUGCUGGAGUGGGGAAAUAGGGCCGUGCUGACUUCACGGGGAGAGCUUUGGUUCCACUGUCUCUGGCCAGGGUUUGGCAGAGGUUCUUAGGGUGCUUAUGCGCAAAGCAUUUUAAUGUAUCUCCUAAGUGUGCUGGGGAAGAAAUGUGGAUUCUGGAGUAAACAUGUGUUCCUAGGGGACCAGCUAGCCCAGCAGGUCCCCUAGGAACACCUGGGAAUGCUGUCCCUGCACAAAGCCUUCCUCACCGCCUGGAGGCAUUGCUUGGGCUUUUUGAGCAGACCGACCCAACCUCCUCUUUGUUGUUACAAGGACAAAUGAUAUUCACAAGGGUGACACACUGCCAGAACAUGUCCUGAAUUUUAUGAAGCCCAAGACACAGCUAAGGAGGAGUAAAUGCCCCCUCAGCACCCCCUACACAUCCAUUCAUGUCAACAUUAUGCUCCACCCUGGGUGGUAUAGAUGAGCUACAGUUGGCGUGCGCCAUGUGGAUUUCCGAGUUGUAAGUUCUCGCCUUUUCUACUCAAACAGCCUCAUCAAAUGGGAGUGAGUGAGGAAGUCAGAGCUGCUUGAGUCUUUUACAUUUUGCAAAAUGUCAAUCAUUCACUGCAGGUGGCUCUUGGCCUGGGGGCACAUGGCACCACUAGCAUCUCUGGGAUUCCACUUCACGAGGGGCUGUGCUGGUGGGGCCUGCAGGUUCUGCGAGUUGGCCUUGGCAGUGAGUGGGUCAGGCUUGAUGGGGAGAACUCCAGUCCAUAGUCAUUUGGCUCUGGGCUUCAUUUCAACUUCCUGGAGGGAUUCUGUUCAUCUGUUCAUCUGUCGUCCAUCUCUCUGUCCAUUCCUCCGUUCAUCUGUCCAUCUACUCAUCCAUCCAUCUAAUUAUCUACUCACCCAGCAAGUACCAAUUGGGGGCCUCCUAUGGAUGAGGAACCCUCUCAAAUGCUGGGGACAUGGAAUUCAGGGGCAGUGCCUCCUCCUCUCUGGGACUGGCUGUGAUAUGGAAAGCCAUGCUACACACCAUGCCACAGUGGCUGGCAGAGCAGCUGUGCCCCAGGGCUGUUGUCCACUGAGGCCUGUCUCAGUGUCUGUGGGCAUUUUGGGGACUCCAGGGCUUUGUCCUUUCACCUCUCAUUUAUUGGUUCUGUGCCAGUCUCUUUCCUCCUUUUGUUUCCUCUGUAUUUCCUCCUUUCCCUUCUAGCCUUUUGUAUCACUGGAAAGAGUGGAAAAAUUAAACUGUUUUAAACAA